rnacentral:rRNA from 1 species
AACGUAGGAGACAAAUGUUAUCCGGAGUUACUGGGCGUAAAGGGCGUGUAGGCGGUCUGUUAAGUCUGGCGUGAAAGCUCUCGGCUAAACCGGGAGAGGUCGUUGGAUACUGGCAGACUAGAGGACGGUAGAGGCGUGUGGAAUUCCGGGUGUAGUGGUGAAAUGCGUAGAGAUCCGGAGGAACACCAGUGGCGAAGGCGACACGCUGGGCCGUACCUGACGCUAAAGCGCGACAGCAUGGGGAGCAAACGGG